GACGAACGCUGGCGGCGUGCCUAAUACAUGCAAGUAGAACGCACAGUUUAUACCGUAGCUUGCUACACCAUAGACUGUGAGUUGCGAACGGGUGAGUAACGCGUAGGUAACCUGCCUGGUAGCGGGGGAUAACUAUUGGAAACGAUAGCUAAUACCGCAUAAUAUUGAUUAUUGCAUGAUAAUUGAUUGAAAGAUGCUAUUGCAUCACUACCAGAUGGACCUGCGUUGUAUUAGCUAGUAGGUGAGGUAACGGCUCACCUAGGCGACGAUACAUAGCCGACCUGAGAGGGUGAUCGGCCACACUGGGACUGAGACACGGCCCAGACGCCUACGGGAGGCAGCAGUAGGGAAUCUUCGGCAAUGGACGAAAGUCUGACCGAGCAACGCCGCGUGAGUGAAGAAGGUUGUCGGAUCGUAAAGCUCUGUUGUAAGAGAAGAACGGGUGCGAGAGUGGAAAGUUCACACUGUGACGGUAUCUUACCAGAAAGGGACGGCUAACUACGUG
rnacentral:rRNA from 1 species